AUAACAAAGUUGUACAUUAAGAAUAAACGCCAAGCGUUAUAUUCUUUCUGUUACAUUUUGUUUUAUUAAUAUAUAUAUGCGUUCUUAUUAUAAAAAUGAUUCUUUUUAAAAUUCUCUUGUAUAAUUUUUUAUGCAUGGGAAUUUU
rnacentral:rRNA from 1 species